ACCAUCACGAAAAAAAAAACGUGCUGACCAUAAACAUUUGUGUACACGAAUCGAAUAGAUUAAAUUAUGUGACCAUUUCACAAACGGCCAUGAGACUGGGUUGUGUGGAGCUAA